GCCAUGAGGUGAAACUAGGGCCCAGGAGCCGCCGGCCCCUCAUGGGACAGACUGUACGGCCCAGGCUCCUCCGGGCCUGGCCAGCGUGGUUAUUUAUAAGCCCUGGCUGCCUCCAGUGUGCCUGGAUCAGACUGGCUUGUUUGGGUCACCGGUGCCAAGUUUUUUCUUUCUUUUUCUUUUUUUCCAAUAAGAAUCUACGUCUGAGCAUGGACGGAAUCCCAGAAUCAAAUCACUGGAUCAAUACUUGGUCACCAAACACAUUCGAGACCUCAAAAGCUCAAAGGCUGUAGGGUAGGUACCCUUGCUACCUACUCUACCUACAGACAAAGACGCUGAGAAAUCAGAUAACUUGUCCAAGGUCAUGGACAGCUGGGACUAGACCCAUGGCUUGUCACACUCUACCAGCCUUAUUCUUAACCUCUCUGCCUGAUGCCUCUUGACCCACAUUCGACUUUGAAAAAGUUUUCGCACUUGGUUCAUCGGAAAAAGCCACACACAGCUGCCCGGAGGACUCUGUUAAUCAGUAGCUGGUUGCUUCUGGCCCAGUGGGCAACAUCAGAGGCAGAAAGUACAGUACAGAGAGAACCGCAGGCCAGCAGUUGCAUCUGAACCCACGCUCUUCCUCCCAGCCCUUUCCCUUGUCUUGACUCACAACCUAGUGUCCUCAGUAUCGCCCAGCACGUGAGGCAGCCGGUUCACUCCAGCCUUGACCAGGGCCAUCGCGGGAUCAGAGCCUCCUCUGUGAGAAUUAGAAAACAGUAUCUCUUCCUCAAGACCCUUGACUGCUAGGAAAUUGACACCAAAAACAUACAAAUCUACAAUGUCCAGUAUGUAGGUGAUGUGAAUGGCUGUCUCUUCAGUGUGCAGUGUGUACACCCUGCGCACCUAUACAAGGCAGCCCUGUCCAGGCCUCCAGACGUCCCAGUGCCACUGCCUGCUGUCAUGGGGUUCUAAUCUAAAGGGUGAGAUGCCAGUCCCGGGAGAAGGCUAAUGAUGAAAGGUUCCAGGAUAAAGGUUAAUAUACAAAAGUCAAUUACUUUCCUAAUGCCAGCAAUAAAGUGGAAUUUGAAAGUAAAAACA
rnacentral:lncRNA from 1 species